rnacentral:rRNA from 1 species
UAAUACGUAGGGUGCAAGCGUUAAUCGGAAUUACUGGGCGUAAAGCGUGCGCAGGCGGUCUCGUAAGCCAGACGUGAAAUCCCCGGGCUUAACCUGGGAACUGCGUUUGGGACUGCGAGGCUCGAGUGUGGCAGAGGGAGGUGGAAUUCCACAUGUAGCAGUGAAAUGCGUAGAUAUGUGGAGGAACACCGAUGGCGAAGGCAGCCUCCUGGGCUAACACUGACGCUCAUGCACGAAAGCGUGGGGAGCAAACAGGAUUAGAUACCCUGGUAGUCCACGCCCUAAACUAUGGCGACUAGUUGUUGGGGAUUUAACAUCCUUAGUAACGAAGCUAACGCGUGAAGUCGCCCGCCUGGGGAGUACGGUCGCAAGAUUAAAACUUAAAUGAAUUGACGG